GAAGUGUGGACGCCAGUCUGCAUGGAGCCGACCUUGAAAUACCACCCUUUAAUGUUUGAUGUUCUAACGUUGACCCGUAAUCCGGGUUGCGGACAGUGUCUGGUGGGUAGUUUGACUGGGGCGGUCUCCUCCUAAAGAGUAACGGAGGAGCACGAAGGUUGGCUAAUCCUGGUCGGACAUCAGGAGGUUAGUGCAAUGGCAUAAGCCAGCUUGACUGCGAGCGUGACGGCGCGAGCAGGUGCGAAAGCAGGUCAUAGUGAUCCGGUGGUUCUGAAUGGAAGGGCCAUCGCUCAACGGAUAAAAGGUACUCCGGGGAUAACAGGCUGAUACCGCCCAAGAGUUCAUAUCGACGGCGGUGUUUGGCACCUCGAUGUCGGCUCAUCACAUCCUGGGGCUGAAGUAGGUCCCAAGGGUAUGGCUGUUCGCCAUUUAAAGUGGUACGCGAGCUGGGUUUAGAACGUCGUGAGACAGUUCGGUCCCUAUCUGCCGUGGGCGCUGGAGAA
rnacentral:rRNA from 1 species